CGUCAAAUCACGAUACCAAUCCCUCUGUCAUGAGUGAUAUUUAAACCGCUUCGGCAGCACGACCACUUGAGCCAUUCGGACACUUACUACAUUUUCUAAAUUUAUUUGAAACUGCCCUAGGCCCGAAAUACAAAAUUUCACAGGAAUAUAAACUCUAAACACUAUUCCCGUGGAUCCGUAUUACUGGAUUGCGUCGCGUUCAAGAAAAAUCCGUUAAUCUCCUGCACCAGCAGAGCACCGGAUGGUUAACUUUUCUGCCAUUGAAAAGGAAUGGUUCUCAAAUCACCAUCUAGUGUAUGACGCCAUCUUUGUUUCAACCGGUCUUUUGGUCAUUUCCCAUCGACUUAAAUGUUCACAGCAAUCUUGAAAAUGUAACCCGAAAUCAAUUGAAGAUGUCCUUAUUUCUGAAAUGAUCAUGACGUGAUGCGCCACUCAUCCAACGCAACAUCGUCGUCUCCAUUACCGCGGGAAACAACAAUUUUCGAGAAACAACAAUUUUUAUUCUAACCUAUAAAAAUACAAUGCUAAAUUAACCUAACUUAAGUACUACC